GCCAUCAUGGUGUAGUGGUUUUAGUGUUGGACUAUAACUCUGGUACCAGGGUUCAAAUCCCUGCUCAGUCA